GGUGAGCAUGUGGUUAAUUCGACGCAACGCGUAAGAACCUUACCUGGUCUUGACAUCCCGGAGACCCUUAGGAAACUAGGGGGUGCUUCCAUCUGGAAGAAUCUGGAGACAGGUGCUGCAUGGCUGUCGUCAGCUCGUGUCGUGAGAUGUUGGGUUAAGUCCCGCAACGAGCGCAACCCUUGCCUUUAGUUGCCAGCAGUUCGGCUGGGCACUCUAGAGAUACUGCCCCGGUUAACGGGAGGAAGGUGGGGAUGACGUCAAGUCCUCAUGGCCCUUAUGCCCAGGGCUACACACGUGCUACAAUGGGCGGUACAAAGGGUAGCGAUGCCGCGAGGUGAAGCCAAUCCCAAAAAGCCGUCCACAGUUCGGAUUGGAGUCUGCAACUCGACUCCAUGAAGCCGGAAUCGCUAGUAAUCGUGGAUCAGCAUGCCACGGUGAAUACGUUCCCGGGCCUU
rnacentral:rRNA from 1 species